GGACUACCGGGGUUUCUAAUCCCGUUUGCUCCCCUAGCUUUCGUUCCUCAGCGUCAGAAAAGACCCAGUGAGCCGCCUUCGCCUCCGGUAUUCCUGAUGAUAUCAACGCAUUUCACCGCUCCACCAUCAGUUCUGCUCACCUCUAUCUUCCUCUAGCCCAGUAGUUUGGAGCGCAGUUCCUCGGUUAAGCCGAGGGCUUUCACACCCCACUUUCUGGACCGCCUACGAACUCUGUAAGCCCAGUGAUUCCGAAUAACGUUUGGACCUCUCGUAUUACCGCGGCGGCUGGCAC
rnacentral:rRNA from 3 species